UUUCCGUAGGUGAACCUGCGGAAGGAUCAUUAUUGUAUAACCGAGGUGCGAUGGCUGUCGCUGACCCGAAAGGUCGUGCACGCCCGAGUGCCCUCACACACAUCCAUCUCACCCCUGUGUGCACCACCGCGUGGGUCCCCCUUUGGCUUGUUCGGAGGGGGGCUUACGUUUUCACACAAACUUUGUAUGCAGUGUAGAAUGUAUUUUUUGUUUUUGCGAUCACGCAAUCAAUACAACUUUCAACAACGGAUCUCUUGGCUCUC
rnacentral:misc_RNA from 1 species